rnacentral:rRNA from 1 species
CCUGAUGGAGGGGGAUAACUACUGGAAACGGUAGCUAAUACCGCAUAACGUCGCAAGACCAAAGAGGGGGACCUUCGGGCCUCUUGCCAUCAGAUGUGCCCAGAUGGGAUUAGCUAGUAGGUGGGGUAACGGCUCACCUAGGCGACGAUCCCUAGCUGGUCUGAGAGGAUGACCAGCCACACUGGAACUGAGACACCGUCCAGACUCCUACGGGAGGCAGCAGUGGGGAAUAUUGCACAAUGGGCGCAAGCCUGAUGCAGCCAUGCCGCGUGUAUGAAGAAGGCCUUCGGGUUGUAAAGUACUUUCAGCGGGGAGGAAAGUGUUGUGGUUAAUAACCGCAGCAAUUGACGUUACCCGCAGAAGAAGCACCGGCUAACUCCGUGUCAGCAGCCGCGGUGAU